AGUGAACGCUGGCGGUAGGCCUAACACAUGCAAGUCGAACGGCAGCACAGUAAGAGCUUGCUCUUACGGGUGGCGAGUGGCGGACGGGUGAGGAAUACAUCGGAAUCUACUUUUUCGUGGGGGAUCACGUAGGGAAACUUACGCUAAUACCGCAUACGACCUACGGGUGAAAGCAGGGGAUCUUCGGACCUUGCGCGAUUGAAUGAGCCGAUGUCGGAUUAGCUAGUUGGCGGGGUAAAGGCCCACCAAGGCGACGAUCCGUAGCUGGUCUGAGAGGAUGAUCAGCCACACUGGAACUGGGACACGGUCCAGACUCCUACGGGAGGCAGCAGUGGGGAAUAUUGGACAAUGGGCGCAAGCCUGAUCCAGCCAUACCGCGUGGGUGAAGAAGGCCUUCGGGUUGUAAAGCCCUUUUGUUGGGAAAGAAAAGCAGCAGGUUAAUACCCCGCUGUUCUGACGGUACCCAAAGAAUAAGCACCGGCUAACUUCGUG
rnacentral:rRNA from 1 species